rnacentral:ncRNA from 1 species
UGAUAGCGUGGAAGCGAGAGAUUGCAGUCCUCUGAGGCUGGUAACUCCGUGGAGCGAAUGUCAAGUUAGGAAACUGGCGACAA